UUAGAGUUUGAUCCUGGCUCAGAUUGAACGCUGGCGGCAGGCCUAACACAUGCAAGUCGAGCGGAUGAGAGGAGCUUGCUCCUGGAUUCAGCGGCGGACGGGUGAGUAAUGCCUAGGAAUCUGCCUGAUAGUGGGGGACAACGUUUCGAAAGGAACGCUAAUACCGCAUACGUCCUACGGGAGAAAGCAGGGGACCUUCGGGCCUUGCGCUAUCAGAUGAGCCUAGGUCGGAUUAGCUAGUUGGUGAGGUAAUGGCUCACCAAGGCGACGAUCCGUAACUGGUCUGAGAGGAUGAUCAGUCACACUGGAACUGAGACACGGUCCAGACUCCUACGGGAGGCAGCAGUGGGGAAUAUUGGACAAUGGGCGAAAGCCUGAUCCAGCCAUGCCGCGUGUGUGAAGAAGGUCUUCGGAUUGUAAAGCACUUUAAGUUGGGAGGAAGGGUUGUAGAUUAAUACUCUGCAAUUUGU
rnacentral:rRNA from 1 species